UUCCUAUUUCUGGCCUGGGCUGGGACACACAUUCAUACGGUUUGAUGAAGUAUUUAUUGGAGUUUAACUUAUUAUUGCACUUAAAAUAACAAGCGUAGCUGUUCUCAAUUUAAGUCGUCCUGUGGCCGCAUCUGUCU